AAUGGUGCCUGACACCUGAUUUAUGGGUCCUUCUCGUAGUGAUCACGGACCGUGUGCGCUAGGACGAAAUAAUAGUCCCUCGGGGUGGACACGUGACGGUCUAUCACUAAGGUGAGGUAGGCUAUGCCCCUCACUCUGAUCUGCUUCGGAGUCUGAGAGAGGGGUGGCCAUGUCGGUGCCGACAGAGAGGGGUUACCAGGGAGAUGUGAGUCUGGCUGUGCCCAAACCCUUAUUAAGUGCAGCUCAUUCACACACUUACUGUACCAGGGGUGUCAUUUUAAAUUGGCCCGCAUCAAAUUUCUAAAAAUUAAUUGCAGUGCAGCUCCCUGGAGAGGAGAGAGACUGCUGCUGCUAAUGUUGUUGUGCCGAAACGCCCCGCCCCCCGCUUCGAUUGGCUGGCCUGUGUGGAGACUGGGUGUGUGAGAGUGUGGACGUCACUAGAGCUGUGCCGCCCAGACACCCCCCCCCCCCUCAGCUUCACUCUGGCUGGAGUCAGACUGUGCCUGCCCUCUGUGGAGACUGGGGAGACAGCGUGUGGACGUCUCAGGAGACUCUGAGAGAGAGACUGCCUGCUGCAGUGUGCUGCCACCCACCACGACUACGAGGUCCUGUGCAUGGGAGCAGAACAGAAUGACUUACCACUUGAGUUUUGGAAGAUGCUGCAAGACAUAGAAACCAACAACUUCUCUGGCCACAUUCCUAUCAUGGACCAGCUAAAAGAUGCAAUUGGGAAACUGCAAAGUCCUUUGUAUCAGUAAUGGAAAUGAAGAGAAACUGAACUUACUGUCAGCCUCUGACCUGUUGUGAAAGAGACUGGAUAACAAUUGCAAAACAAGGGACUCCCUUCUGGGACUGGGUGGUUCAUUUGAUCUUUAUUUGCUUGAAAAUCAAGAAGCAUUAUACAUUUUAUUGAUAGGUUUCUCCUCUGGGGACACUAGAGGGGGUCAUUUACCAGUCAUGGUGCAGGUGCAAGCAGAAAUUGUGCACCCUGUAUCGUGGGUGUAGAAUGGGACAGACUAGAAUAGAAAAUACAGUAGGUCAGAAUAGGCAAGGUAUCAAGGCUAGGAUUCUUAGGCAAGGCAAUGAGUCUCGGGCAAGUCAAGGCAGAAUUAGUCAGAGCUAUGGACAGGCCACAUGACUUAGAUUACACAGCCAAUGGUAAGAACGUCAGUACAUCAAUAAAUUAGGAAGGAAGGAAACUCUUCAAAACAUGUCUUUCCAUUGCCCAUUCUUUACCUGCAAAGGUGAUAGAAAAUUGUUAUGUAUAGUAGUAAUGUCUUCUAUUAGUUUUCUUAUUUACAUGUUAAAAUAUGCAUGAAUAGAAGCCCGCUGUACAGAAACCCUUAAAAUUUACUGAAGUUUUCUUUCCAUUCUUUCAUAAGAAAAUCACAUUGUAAGUAAGGCAAAGUAUGAUGAUAGAAAUAUUUCUUUUUUUUUCUUGGCCUUCAUUUAGCAAAAAAUAGCAUUUUCAACAUGACUUACUUUCAAAUAUGGCACAAAGUGAACAAGGAAGUACUUAUGAAGUACCGUUGAAACUGAAUCUAUUGCUUUACCCCAAGGUGGUGUUUGAUUAGACAAAUUAGAACCACUUGCCGGCUGAACAUUACAUUGCCAGUGAACUGUUAUCACAUCAUUAUGCUGAUAUCAGAGAGGUGGCAGAAAAUUGUAACACAAGCUAUGAAAGGUAAAGCUAUUUCCAGGGACAUUGGCACCCCAGACAGGUGGUGUUAUUGUAGAUCAAGAAUCUCUGGUUAAGAUAAGGUAUGUAAAAGUCACAGUGUUUUCAAUGUAAAUAAGCUUUUCGGUCUGAUCUUUGAUGUUGCCCAUGGUCCAAUAAAAUGUUCUGUCAGAUCCUGAGGUUAUAUUCGAGCUAUAAAGCAAGACAGGGUAUUGGACAUUUGGGAGGUAGGAAGUAUCUGGUUACAUGAUUACUAGGAAAGGUGGAGGAACAGUGACACGGUGAACUAUUGCCCCUUCUCCCCCUGAAUGAACAGUGAGGUGUAUGCUACUCUUAUAGCUUGUUGUGCCAAUCCUGUCUGUUCACUUAGAGUUAAACUUUAGUAUAAUAUAGAGAGAUAUAUUUUGAGACAAUUUGCAAUUGUUUUUUAUUAUUUGUGAUGGCGGUAGCAGCGCAGGGGGGAGCCGGGACCCCAAGGGAGCUUGGCAUCAGACAGCAGCAGUUCCCGGGGCAGCCAGCAAGAGGGGAGACUGGGCUAGGAGGUGCCAGUGCACAGGGGCAGCCGUAAGAGAUCUACUCUACUGGCUCAAGGGCCGAUCCCAGUGUGCUGCCGUAUGCUGCUUUACUGUGACAGCAACAAGAGAGAGAGACAGGGUCGGACUGGCCUGCCAGGUACCGUGAAAAAACCCGGUGGGCCCCAACCUUGGUGGGCCCCUCGUCCCUUGCUUUAUUUAAUUUGUGACUUGCGAUGACUCAAUAAAUAAUUUAUUUUGUA